AAUAUCACAUUGAAACACCCAUUCUCGUACGAUCACCGAAGUUAAGCAACGACGAACCUGGUCAUUACUUAAAUGGGUGACCACUCAGGAAUACCAGAUGCUGUAU